rnacentral:rRNA from 1 species
AGCUCGUAGUUGGAGUUCAGAUUGAGCUCGGCCGGUCGGCCUAAUUGGUCAGAACUGGUUGACUCUGUCUUGUUUGUGGAUCCCUCCGGAGUUAACUCUUCGGAUGUGGAGUCCACAUCGUUUACCUUGAAAAAAUUAGAGUGUUCAAAGCAGGCGUUUGCUUGAAUAUAUUAGCAUGGAAUAAUGGAAUAGGACGCUGGUUCUAUUUUGUUGGUUUUGAGAACCAGAGUAAUGAUUAAUAGGGACAGUUGGGGGCAUUCAUAUUUCAUUGUCAGAGGUGAAAUUCUUGGAUUUAUGAAAGAUGAACUUCUGCGAAAGCAUUUGCCAAGGAUGUUUUCAUUAAUCAAGAACGAAAGUUAGGGGAUCGAAGACGAUCAGAUACCGUCGUAGUCUUAACCAUAAACUAUGCCGACUAGGGAUUGGACGUGGUUUGUUCAUUGACCCGUUCAGCACCUUACGAGAAAUCAAAGUCUUUGGGUUCCGGGG